UUGUGAUUUCAAUACCACCAACAUAUUUUCACUGGGAGCAAAGAGUCAUUGACUGUAAGGUCAUUUACUGGCAUGAAACAGUGCGGUAGCACACGUACGUAGCCUACAUGCACAUAUUGCGUAGCUUGCGAGCACCCGAUAUCAAGCAAGCACGAGUCCAAAACACUUCACCACCCAUCGACCCUCACCUUCCAGUCCUAUGUCAAUGCACAUCUUCUAUGUCGCUGUGCCACUCCGUGAUUUCCGCAACCCCAAGAUUUCGUAGAGAUUUUGUGUGAACUUAGCUUUACCGAUGCUCCACAAGGCGAUGUUCAGCCCGUCUUCCAUGGGGAGGGAAAGAAGCUGGAUCAGUUGCCAGCCUGAGAUGGAUGAAUAUGGCCAGAAGCUCUAGUUUCUCUGAGGUAGAGAGCAGAGAGGGUAAAAGACAGAGAAGAGGAUCACAGUUCGAAAGGUGCCAAGGCGAGGGAAUCAAACCAAGCCCUUCCCACGCAGAGACAACCUGGAACUCACAAAGCCCCUGAAGAUGGAGAAGCCAAUGGCCCCCAGCAGACAGAUGAUCAGCAGGAAGUCCAGGGGGCGGAGAAGCAGGUUUCUCUUCUGCACGCGCUCAAUCUGGGACACACA